CUUCCCUUGGGGGUUCCUAAAAAUAAAGAUAAAAAGAACAGUAUCAGGGACUGUGGCUGGGGCUCAAUGGUAGAGCGCUUGCCUUGCAUGCAUGAGGCACUGGGUUGGAUCCUCAGAACCACAUACAAAUAAAUAAAGAUAGUGUGUCUCUCUACAACUAAAAAAAAUUAUUAUUAAAGAAAAGGACAGUAUGAUUUAUUUCUGGCUGUAUAAAUAGAAGUGCAUUUUAAUUUUGUUCAUAAAUACAAACUUCUGACACUAAUAUCUAAGAAAAGAUCGUUAGAUCUUUUGAUAAUCAAUAGUAUUCUCAGCAGCAGUUGUAUAGAAUAUACAAAAAAAAAAAAGAACAUGAACAGAAUGUUCUCUUGUGGCUGCUUCUUAUCUUCCCACAGUAGAAGCUAGGGUUGCCGUGUUACAUUAUAAUUCAGGGAAGGCAUCUCAAUGAGUUUCACAGGCGCCAAGGUAGGGGUAGGGUAGAUAGAAAAGACAGGCUUCUGGCUUAGUAGCUUGGCUGUGUGUCCUUAAGAAAGUCACCUCAUUUCUCUGAGCCACAACUUUCUCAUCUAUAAAUAGGACUAAUGCUUAAAUUAGAGGAUUUCUUAGAGAAUUAAAUGAAUUAAAGUGCCUAUUGUAUACCUGGUACAUUGUAUGUUUCUUUCUUUUUCCUGAGCUAAUGGUGUAUGCUGCUUUUGGUUAUUUGAGGACAGAACUGGGAAAAUGGAAGGAAAAUAUAUUCUUCGAGGAUGGAACCCAGGGGCACUUUACAACUGAGCUAACAUCCAUGGCCCUUUUUACUUUUUUGAGACAGAAUCUUGCUCAGUGGCCCAGGUUGACCUCAAACUUGAGAUCCUUCUGCCUCAGCCUCCCCAGUCACUGGGAUUGCAGGCAUACACCACCCACCCUGCCAGGCUCACCUUAAAGGCAAGAAAAUAC
rnacentral:lncRNA from 1 species